CCUACGGAGGGCAGCAGUAGGGAAUCUUCCACAAUGGGCGAAAGCCUGAUGGAGCAACGCCGCGUGGGUGAAGAAGGUCUUCGGAUCGUAAAACCCUGUUGUUAGAGAAGAAAGUGCGUGAGAGUAACUGUUCACGUUUCGACGGUAUCUAACCAGAAAGCCACGGCUAACUACGUGCCAGCAGCCGCGGUAAUACGUAGGUGGCAAGCGUUAUCCGGAUUUAUGGGGCGUAAAGGGAACGCAUGCGGUCUUUUAAGUCUGAUGUGAAAGCCUUCGGCUUAACCGGAGUAGAGCAUUGGAAACUGGGAGACUUGAGUGCAGAAGAGGAGAGUGGAACUCCAUGUGUAGCGGUGAAAUGCGUAGAUAUAUGGAAGAACACCAGUGGCGAAAGCGGCUCUCUGGUCUGUAACUGACGCUGAGGUUCGAAAGCGUGGGUAGCAAACAGGAUUAGAUACCCUGGUAGUC
rnacentral:rRNA from 1 species